rnacentral:rRNA from 1 species
CGUAGACAACUUGCCCAGAGAUUUGGGAUAACAUCGAGAAAUUGAUGCUAAUACCGAAUAAUAUCACGGACACCCCGGUGUCUGUGAUCAAAGGUGGCUUCGGCUACUGUCUCUGGAUGGGUCUGCGUCUGAUUAGCUAGUUGGUGAGGUAAUGGCUCACCAAGGCGACGAUCAGUAGCUGGUCUGAGAGGAUGAUCAGCCACACUGGGACUGAGACACGGCCCAGACUCC